GACGUAGGGCGCGAGCGUUGUCCGGAUUUAUUGGGCGUAAAGAGCUCGUAGGCGGCUUGUCGCGUCGUUUCGUGAAAACCUGCAGCUCAACUGCAGGCUUGCGGUCGAUACGGGCAGGCUAGAGUUCGGUAGGGGAGACUGGAAUUCCUGGUGUAGCGGUGAAAUGCGCAGAUAUCAGGAGGAACACCGGUGGCGAAGGCGGCUCACUGGACCAUAACUGACGCUGAUGCACGAAAGCUGGGGGGAGCAAACAGG
rnacentral:rRNA from 1 species